rnacentral:rRNA from 1 species
AAGCCACGGCUAACUACGUGCCAGCAGCCGCGGUAAUACGUAGGUGGCAAGCGUUAUCCGGAAUUAUUGGGCGUAAAGAGUGAGCAGGCGGUUUUUUAAGUCUGAAGUCAAAUCCUGUGGCUCAACCACAGUUCGCUUUGGAAACUGAAGAACUAGAGUGCGGGAGAGGUAAGCGGAAUUCCAUAUGUAGCGGUGAAAUGCACAGAUAUAUGGAGGAACACCGGUGGCGAAGGCGGCUUACCAGCCCGAUACUGACGCUCAGUCACGAAAGCGUGGGGAGCAAAUAGGAUUAGAUACCCUAGUAGUCCACGCCGUAAACGUUGAGGACCUGAUGCCGGAGUAUUUCGGUGUCGUAGCUAACGCGUUAAGUCCUCCGCCUGGGUACUACGUUCGCAAGAAUAAAACUUAAAGGAAUUGACGGGGGCCCGCACAAGCAGUGGAGCAUGUGGUUUAAUUCGUCGCUACGCGAAAAACCUUACCAGGGUUUGACAUCCCGCUAAAAGUCUUGGAAACAAGAUCAUAGUUAUAGCGGUGAAAGGUGGUGCAUGGUUGUCGUCAGCUCGUGUCGUGAGAUGUUGGGUUAAGUCCCCUAACGAGCGCAACCCUUGUCUCUAUUUGCCAUCAUUAAGUUGGGAACUAUAGAGAGACUGCCGGUGCAAACCGGAGGAAGAUGGGGAUGACGUCAAAUCAUCAUGCCCCUUAUGCCCUGGGCCACACACGUGCUACAAUGGCCGGUACAGAGAGAAGCAAUCCCGUGAGGAGGAGCAAAUCUCACAAAGCCGGUCUCAGUUCGGAUUGGAGUCUGCAACUCGACUCCAUGAAGCUGGAAUUGCUAGUAAUCGCAGAUCAGCAUUGCUGCGGUGAAUACGUUCCCGGGCCUUGUACACACCGCCCGUCACACCAUGAGAGUCGGCAAUACUCGAAGUCGUUAUCUUAACCCGCAAGGGAGGGAGGCGCCUAAGGUAGGGCUGAUGAUUGGGGUUAAGUCGUAACAAGGUAUCCCUACGGGAACGUGGGGAUG